rnacentral:tRNA from 1 species
AUUUGAUUAUUUCUAUAGUUGAAAUACAACGAUGGUUUUUCAGAUCAUUAGUCAUGGUAGGAGUCCAUGUGGAAGUAAU